GGGUUGUUUUCUAACCUGUUUUUGUAAAUAUUAUGGAAGACUGAUAUUCUGAGAUGUAAUAUUAAAUAUAGUUUCCUUAGGUAGUUUCAUAAGUACAGGAUUUAUUCUUUUAUCUGUUGAGGAGUCACUGUCUGAGGUAGAAUGAACACUGCAGUUUUUUUGCUUGUUUUUCAAAACAUCUGUAAACCUUGCUGUAUUUUUUAUUAUUAGAAUUUGGAUCAGAAGAACGAGUGGCAAAAGAGAGAAGAAGUGCCAUUUACUCAGGUGGACUGCGCUCCAAUUUGAUGAAUCUAAUCUCCUGGCUUUAUACCAGAACAUCUGGG
ensembl:lncRNA